UACAGAGGUCCCAAGCGUUGUCCGGAUUUACUGGGCGUAAAGGGCGUGCAGGCGGUCUGUUUAGUCUAGGGUGAAAGCUCCCGGCUCAACUGGGAGAGGUCCUUGGAUACUGGCAGACUUGAGGGAGGCAGAGGAAAGUGGAAUUCCCGGUGUAGUGGUGAUAUGCGUAGAUAUCGGGAGGAACACCAGUGGCGAAGGCGGCUUUCUGGGCCUUACCUGACGCUGAGACGCGAAAGCGUGGGGAGCGAACCGG
rnacentral:rRNA from 1 species